rnacentral:lncRNA from 1 species
AUUUGUGAAGGAAUUUUUACUCCCCAAAAGAGCGCCCCCCCAUGGCAGGAGAAAAAAGUCCAUUUUUUCUUGUCCCCUAAGGUGAAAAUACACAUUGUUGAGUGUCACGCCUUUACGCUUUGGCAAAAUGACACAAAAAUUGACACACACAUGUAUCUCAAUAAGAUCUACAAAAAAGUCUAUGAGCGCGUAUCUGUCAAAUGUACGGUUAAAGGGUUAUUCCGCAUUUUUUGCCGAUACGCACACAUUGGAAUGUGGCUAACUCCUCCGAAGGCUUUCGUUCCACCGGCACCACAUUUGCUCAGGCCAAUCUACACCCCAUGGCCAUUAAAAGUUAUUCAAAUCAUGACGCUGCACCCCACGGUUUAGGUUCUAGGGGGCGCCAAAAAUAACCCUAAAAUCCACAUAUUUCAAAGUCUUAUAACUUUUUAUUUUUGUCCUCACUGGCCUCCAAGUUUUCUAGGAUGAUGCAAUGUCCAGCCAUCAACACAUUUGUGAAGGAAUUUUUACUCCCCAAAAGAGCGCCCCCCCCAUGGCAGGAGAAAAAAGUCCAUUUUUUCUUGUCCCCUAAGGUGAAAAUACAUAUUGUUGAGAUUCACGCCUAUACCCUUUGUCAUAUUGACACAAGAUUUGACAAUCACGUGCCUUGCCUGGUAUCAUUUUUUUCAGCACAACCUCACCUGUGCGAAUUUACAGUUAUUUUAUCAUGUUGACAUACUGAAUUUACACAAUGGACCCAAAUUCACACACAAAACAUAAAAUCCGAGUGGAAAAAAG